rnacentral:tRNA from 1 species
GCCUGACUGGCUCAGUCAGUGGAGCAAGUGACUCUUAAUCUCAGGAUGGUGAGUUAGGACCCCACGUUGGGUA